rnacentral:rRNA from 1 species
CUCAACACAUGCAAGUCGAGCGGAAAGGCCCUUUCGGGGGUACUCGAGCGGCGAACGGGUGAGUAACACGUGAGUAAUCUGCCCUGCGCUCUGGGAUAGCCACCGGAAACGGUGAUUAAUACCGGAUAGGACCACUUCACGCAUGUGAUGGUGGUGGAAAGUUUUUUCGGCGCAGGAUGUGCUCGCGGCCUAUCAGCUUGUUGGUGAGGUAACGGCUCACCAAGGCUUUGACGGGUAACCGGCCUGAGAGGGUGACCGGUCACACUGGGACUGAGACACGGCCCAGACUCCUACGGGAGGCAGCAGUGGGGAAUAUUGGACAAUGGGCGGAAGCCUGAUCCAGCAACGCCGCGUGAGGGAUGACGGCCUUCGGGUUGUAAACCUCUUUCAGUACCGACGAAGCGAAAGUGACGGUAGGUACAGAAGAAGGACCGGCCAACUACGUGCCAGCAGCCGCGGUAAUACGUAGGGUCCGAGCGUUGUCCGGAAUUAUUGGGCGUAAAGGGCUCGUAGGCGGUUUGUCGCGUCGGGAGUGAAAACACCGGGCUUAACUCGGUGCUUGCU